GCCAGCCCGCUCAAGAACUCAAAGGAAUUGACGGGGGCCCGCACAAGCGGUGGAGCAUGUGGUUAAUUCGAAGCAACGCGAAGAACCUUACCAGGCCUUGACAUGCAGAGAACUUUCCAGAGAUGGAUUGGUGCCUUCGGGAACUCUGACACAGGUGCUGCAUGGCUGUCGUCAGCUCGUGUUGUGAGAUGUUGGGUUAAGUCCCGUAACGAGCGCAACCCUUGUCCUUAGUUACCAGCACGUUAUGGUGGGCACUCUAAGGAGACUGCCGGUGACAAACCGGAGGAAGGUGGGGAUGACGUCAAGUCAUCAUGGCCCUUACGGCCUGGGCUACACACGUGCUACAAUGGUCGGUACAAAGGGUUGCCAAGCCGCGAGGUGGAGCUAAUCCCAUAAAACCGAUCGUAGUCCGGAUCGCAGUCUGCAACUCGACUGCGUGAAGUCGGAAUCGCUAGUAAUCGUGAAUCAGAAUGUCACGGUGAAUACGUUCCCGGGCCUU
rnacentral:rRNA from 1 species